CGGCACCUACGGGGGGCAGCAGUAGGGAAUCUUCCACAAUGGACGAAAGUCUGAUGGAGCAACGCCGCGUGAGUGAAGAAGGGUUUCGGCUCGUAAAGCUCUGUUGGUAGUGAAGAAAGAUAGAGGUAGUAACUGGCCUUUAUUUGACGGUAAUUACUUAGAAAGUCACGGCUAACUACGUGCCAGCAGCCGCGGUAAUACGUAGGUGGCAAGCGUUAUCCGGGUUUACUGGGUGUAAAGGGAGCGUAGACGGCUGC
rnacentral:rRNA from 1 species